rnacentral:rRNA from 1 species
AACGAACGCUGGCGCCAUGCCUAACACAUGCAAGUCGAACGAGAUCUUCGGGUCUAGUGGCGCACGGGUGCGUAACGCGUGGGAAUCUGCCCUUUGGUUCGGAAUAACAGUUGGAAACGACUGCUAAUACCGGAUGAUGACGAAAGUCCAAAGAUUUAUCGCCAGAGGAUGAGCCCGAGUAGGAUUAGCUAGUUGGUGUGGUAAAGGCGCACCAAGGCGACGAUCCUUAGCUGGUCCUAGAAGAUGAUCAGCCACACUGGGACCGAGACACGGCCCAGACUCGUACGGGAGGCAGCAUUGGAGAAGAUUGGACAAUGGGCGAAAGCCUGAUCAAGCAAUGCCGCGUGAGUGAUGAAGGCCUUAGGGUUGUAAAGCUCUUUUACCGGUGAUGAUAAUGACAGUACCGGGAGAAUAAGCUCCGGCUAACUCCGUGCAAGCCGCCGCGGUAA